rnacentral:rRNA from 1 species
CCUACGGGUGGCAGCAGUGGGGAAUAUUGGACAAUGGGCGAAAGCCUGAUCCAGCCAUGCCGCGUGUGUGAAGAAGGCCUUCGGGUUGUAAAGCACUUUCAGUGGAGAAGAAAGCCUUGGGGCUAAUACCCUCGAGGAAGGACAUUACCCACAGAAGAAGCACCGGCUAACUCCGUGCCAGCAGCCGCGGUAAUACGGAGGGUGCGAGCGUUAAUCGGAAUUACUGGGCGUAAAGCGCGCGUAGGCGGUCUGAUAAGCCGGUUGUGAAAGCCCCGGGCUCAACCUGGGAACGGCAUCCGGAACUGUCAGGCUAGAGUGCAGGAGAGGAAGGUAGAAUUCCCGGUGUAGCGGUGAAAUGCGUAGAGAUCGGGAGGAAUACCAGUGGCGAAGGCGGCCUUCUGGACUAACACUGACGCUGAGGUGCGAAAGCGUGGGUAGCAAACAGGAUUAGAUACCCGAGUAGUC